rnacentral:rRNA from 1 species
UACAGAGGUCUCAAGCGUUGUUCGGAUUCAUUGGGCGUAAAGGGUGCGUAGGCGGCGCGGUAAGUCGGGUGUGAAAUCUCGGGGCUUAACUCCGAAACUGCAUUCGAUACUGCCGUGCUUGAGGACUGGAGAGGAGACUGGAAUUUACGGUGUAGCGGUGAAAUGCGUAGAUAUCGUAAGGAAGACCAGUGGCGAAGGCGGGUCUCUGGACAGUUCCUGACGCUGAGGCACAAAGGCCAGGGGAGCAAACGGG